GGUGCCUUCGGGAACGUCUGACACAGGUGCUGCAUGGCUGUCGUCAGCUCGUGUCGUGAGAUGUUGGGUUAAGUCCCGUAACGAGCGCAACCCUUGCCUUUAGUUGCCAGCAGUUCGGCUGGGCACUCUAAAGGGACUGCCGGUGUUAAACCGGAGGAAGGUGGGGAUGACGUCAAGUCCUCAUGGCCUUUAUGACCAGGGCUACACACGUACUACAAUGGCCGAUACAAAGGGCAGCGACACUGCGAGGUGAAGCCAAUCCCGUAAAAUCGGUCUCAGUCCGGAUUGGAGUCUGCAACUCGACUCCAUGAAGUUGGAAUCGCUAGUAAUCGUGGAUCAGCAUGCCACGGUGAAUACGUUCCCGGGCCUU
rnacentral:rRNA from 1 species